rnacentral:lncRNA from 1 species
CCGCCCAUGAAAUGGAGCCCUCCACAUUCAGGGGGAUUCUUCUCUACUCAGUUGAACUUCUGUGGAAAUACCCUCACAGAUGUAUCUAGAGAUUUACUGUUGAAGUUAAAGCCUGUGAGAGGUUCCCAGCGAUGCUUCAAAAGGUCCCUGUGCACCAUCACCAGCUUCAUUACAAAUAUCAGGACACAAGGCAGAUUGAGAGAUAAACUUAGGUCCACCCUCUGCAAUCCACCAGUGAGGAGAUCCACACAACCAUGGAAGGAUCAACUGAGAGAAUGUCUACAAAUCACCUAGGAGAAAAAGCAGCACAAGCCGGGAAGGUCAACUCUGCUGAAUCAUUGCCUUUCUUCUGUAGCUCUGGUCCUUCUGCUGAGGAGUGCAGACUUUGGAAGAAAGCACACUUUGCUCAGUCCUCAAAGCUACCAAGACUCAUCCCUUCAAGCCUACAGAGCCAUGUUCCCAAAGGGCAAUUGCCACACAAGAAUAUAUGGAGGCAUCUGUCAUUAUUCUAUGUCUUCCCCACUUGCAAAGGAAAGAUUAGUUUUCUCUAGUGGUGCUCACUUCAGAGUACCUAACAGUGGACAACCAACCCAGAAAGCUCCCAAAGGGAUUUUUGUAGACUUUUGCUCUCAUAGAACUUUGAUUGGCCACUUUCUGUCUAUUAGUCUUAUAUAUUAUGGUUUCUGAUUUUGUGUUUGUGUCUGUGAGUUUCUUUUUUGUUGUUUUAUUUGUUUACUGUUUUAUUUUAAGAGAGAGAAAGGGUAUAGAAUUGGGGAGGAUCUGGGUGGAACUGGGUAAUAUACUUGUAUCAGAAUAUACUUUAUAAUUUUUAAAUUAAAAAUAAUGAACAAAC